UGAGCACCCUACCCCUUUGAUGCUUCU
rnacentral:piRNA from 1 species